GAUGAACGCUAGCGGCAGGCUUAACACAUGCAAGUCGAGGGGCAGCAUAAAUAGUAGCAAUACUAUUGGUGGCGACCGGCGGACGGGUGCGUAACGCGUAUACAACCUUCCCUAAACAGGGGGAUAAUCUGGAGAAAUUCGGUCUAAUACCCCAUAACAUCAGAGCAGGCAUCUGUUUUGGUUAAAAUUUCCGGAGGUUUAGGAUGGGUAUGCGUAGCAUUAGCUAGUUGGUGAGGUAACGGCUCACCAAGGCGACGAUGCUUAGGGGGACUGAGAGGUUAACCCCCCACACUGGUACUGGGACACGGACCAGACCCCUACGGGAGGCAGCAGUGAGGAAUAUUGGUCAAUGGGCGGAAGCCUGAACCAGCCAUGCCGCGUGCAGGAUGACGGCUCUAUGGGUUGUAAACUGCUUUUGUACGAGGGUAAAGUGGGCUACGUGUAGCCUUUUGAAAGUAUCGUACGAAUAGGGAUCGGCUAACUCCGUGCCAGCCGCCGCCGUAA
rnacentral:rRNA from 1 species